UAGAAUUUUUAUUUCUUUAAUAGAAGUUAGACUGUAUUGUUAGCUUUUUAACAAGCUAAAGCAUGCAAAAAAUGGAGCUGUGAGGAAGAAGAACCAAGCAAACUUGUGAGAAAGGGAUUGCUAGCAUUUUCAUGUAGCAAAAUUCAAGACUGGUUAGGGAUUUCUAUGCCAUUUCUUGAAUUUUCUUUUUCUUAUUCUGAAAUUUUGAAAAUAAUUAGAUUGUAUUAUUAUCUUUCCAACAAACUAUAGUAUGUAAGAAAUAGAGCUAUAAAGAAGGAGAACCAUAUGAAUUUGUAAAAGAGGAGGGAUUGCUAGAGUUUUUAAGUGAUGAGAUUCAAUACCAAUUAGGGAUUUAUAAUCCAUUUCUCAUAUUUUCU
rnacentral:lncRNA from 1 species